UACGUAGGCGGCAAGCGUUGUCCGGAAUCAUUGGGCGUAAAGAGCGUGUAGGCGGCCAGAUAAGUCCGCUGUGAAAUCUCGAGGCUCAACUUCGAGCUGUCGGUGGAAACUGUCUGGCUAGAGUCCGGAAGAGGAGAAUGGAAUUCCUGGUGUAGCGGUGAAAUGCGUAGAGAUCCGGAGGAACACCAGAGGCGAAGGCGGCCUGCUGGGCUGCACCUGACGCUGAACCGCGAAAGCCAGGGGAGCGAACGGG
rnacentral:rRNA from 1 species